ACACCGUUGGUGAAACGGUAUCAUGCAACUUUGCCAUUAAAUAAUCUAGUUGCGGCAAGGGUUCGACUCCCUUACGGUGUA